UAAAAAAGACAAAAUGUAGCAUUCAUCUUGUUUAUUCACUCAGUGUUAAAGCUGUUGAAAUCUGGUAUGUGGAUUUUUCCCACUCUGAGAGUUUUUGUGGGUCCUGGUGUUUCACAGUUUGCCUUUGGCACAAGGCUGGUGUGUGUAUGUUCUCUGAAGCGUGCCAGUGUGUUUUGUGAGUGUGUGUGAAAGCAUGAAACAGAUAAAGAUAGAAGGAGAAAGAGAGGUGAAGGAAUUAUGAAUUAUCCUGUCCAAGCAUAUGCUGACCACAACCACACAGCCGUGUACUGGAUUCUGGAUUCUGCUUUUCCCUGUAGUCUUGUGUUUGUGUAAGUGCGUGUUGGACCCCCAGGACGACAGAGAAGGGAAUAGCAUCUCUGCUUUCUCACCAUCAUGGCUCAGAACCGGGUUUGAAACAGCUUGACACUGACAGAUGAAGAAUCUUUGUACUACUGUAUCUCUUUUACACAGACAAUACUUUAGUCAUUGUGGGAGAGGUGGACAUUAUCACCAGAAGGUGAUGAUUUAGCGGGUUACUGCUUCCUCCUACUCGUCUGUGUCCACUAGUCUGGUGAGGAGUCAACCAUGAUGAGGGGUCAUGACCUUUCGUUUACAUCCCAUUGACAUCUGUAUUUCUGCUGAAGGGUCGUGUUAGAACUGAGAUAAGCACACAUUGUAUUUUGUGUCUCUGCAAAGGUGCAUGUUCAUAGCUGCAACCAGUAAACCCAUUCAGUCCCCUCCACCCCACAACACUGAAGCAUGACUCCACUGCCUUCUUAUCUGGAGCAUGUGGCUGUUGUACUCGUCAUUGUGAGUUUAUCUCCUCAUCAGUGUGUGAGUGAGCUUCUGCCUGCUGUCACUCUGCUGAGACAGACAGCAGUACUUGAGAAAAACCUGCUGUGACACACACAGGCACCUGCAACCGCCUGAGUCCUGCUGAGAGCUCUGUAGAGUUAAAAAGCACAUGUAUGCAGAGACAGCAGCAGACGUACACAUUCACAAGAACCAGGUGUGAUGAGACCAUAGAUAUGUGCUCUAUCUCUAGCACUUACACAUCAAAACAUUACCUUUGAACACACACAUACACACAUGCAUUGGUUGCCAGAAUGUUGCACUGUCCUUGUAUCUAUAAAAAUGUGUGUGUGUUUUGAAUACUUUUAUGUGAUUUACAGACCCAAAUUGGCCACGUAACACAUUUCUUAGAGAAAGAGAGAGAGACAGAAAGGUGCACUUCUAAUUACAAGACAGCUGAGUAUAAUGUUUCUUUGUCCUCUGUGUCAGGAACAAUGCCAAGUAUGUGUGAUGUGUGUUUAGUGCUGUUAUUGUCCUUAACAGAGACAUUAUAGACACGUGUCCCCGCCCUUCUCUCUCUUUCUCUCUCUGUCUGUCUGAGUCAAUAUUAGGCUUUUUUAUUUAAUUUUGUUUAUAUAACUUUCUGCUUGUUCUUUAUUUCAUUUUUUAAAUAGUUUUUUCUUUUUCCUCUGUGACUGAUGGUUUGACCUUAUCUUGUGUGUGUGUGUGUGUGUGUGUGUGUGUGUGUUUCAGGGUUUUCAGGGUUAAUUUCAACUAAAAUUAAACACACACACACAAACAUAUUUUUUUUUUUUUAUUGAUCAGUUAAUAAAUUUUUUUUAAGUUUAUUUUCUUUAAUGUUA
ensembl:lncRNA